rnacentral:rRNA from 1 species
UACGUAGGGUGCAAGCGUUAAUCGGAAUUACUGGGCGUAAAGCGUGCGCAGGCGGUUUUGUAAGUCUGUCGUGAAAUCCCCCGGGCUCAACCUGGGAAUUGCGAUGGAGACUGCAAGGCUAGAAUCUGGCAGAGGGGGGUAGAAUUCCACGUGUGAGCAGUGAAAUGCGUAGAGAUGUGGAGGAACACCGAUGGCGAAGGCAGCCCCCUGGGUCAAGAUUGACGCUCAUG